rnacentral:rRNA from 1 species
GCGGGCCUAACACAUGCAAGUCGAGCGGAUGAAAGUAGCUUGCUACUUGAUUCAGCGGCGGACGGGUGAGUAAUACUUAGGAAUCUGCCUAUUAGUGGGGGACAACGUUUCGAAAGGAACGCUAAUACCGCAUACGCCCUACGGGGGAAAGCAGGGGAUCACUUGUGAUCUUGCGCUAAUAGAUGAGCCUAAGUCAGAUUAGCUAGUUGGUGGGGUAAAGGCCUACCAAGGCGACGAUCUGUAGCGGGUCUGAGAGGAUGAUCCGCCACACUGGGACUGAGACACGGCCCAGACUCCUACGGGAGGCAGCAGUGGGGAAUAUUGGACAAUGGGGGGAACCCUGAUCCAGCCAUGCCGCGUGUGUGAAGAAGGCCUUAUGGUUGUAAAGCACUUUAAGCGAGGAGGAGGGUACCUUGGUUAAUACCCAAGAGUAUCGGACGUUACUCGCAGAAUAAGCACCGGCUAACUCUGUGCCAGCAGCCGCGGUAAUACAGAGGGUGCAAGCGUUAAUCGGAUUUACUGGGCGUAAAGCGUGCGUAGGCGGCUAAUUAAGUCGGAUGUGAAAUCCCCGAGCUCAACUUGGGAAUUGCAUUCGAUACUGGUUAGCUAGAGUAUGGGAGAAGAUGGGUAGAAUUCCAGGUGUAGCGGUGAAAUGCGUAGAGAUCUGGAGGAAUACCGAUGGCGAAGGCAGCCAUCUGGCCUAAUACUGACGCUGAGGUACGAAAGCAUGGGGAGCAAACAGGAUUAGAUACCCUGGUAGUCCACG